UCUCCAAAAAAAAAAAAAAAAAAAAGAAGGAUUUUUUUUUUUUUUAAGAUCAUCAGCUAUUGUUAUUGUUAGUGUAUGUUAUGUGUGGCCCAAGACAACUUUGCUUCUUUAAUAUAGCCAGGGAAGCCAAAAGAUUGGAUAUCCCUGCUUUAUACCAAGAAAGAUGACACCCCACAUUUGCAAUGCCUAAAAGCACUACCAGCCAUCCGAAAAACAUGAGACUUCUAACUUCUGUUCUUUUUUGUAGCAGUGGAAUCCCACGGUGAUAUCUGAUGGAUGUGGUUACCUUUUGGAGGAGGUUGACAGUUUCUAAGGAUGAUUCUUUCUGAGUGAAAUAUUGUCAGUGUCAUUGACCUUUUCAUUAUUUCAACUAUUAUUAUUCCAGGUUAUCCAUUCUCUGCAUGACCAUUUUCAUCCUGGGACUGACUUUUGUGGAAUUCCGUGGAUAGUUAUCAUUAUUGUGUUUCUGGGAAUUUCUACACUUGCCAUUUUCCUCUGGAAAACUAAUCUUUGUGUGUCUUUCCUGAAGACUGUCUUAAAGUCACGAAAUGUACAUGACAGAUCCACAGAUGUACAUCGGAAAGCCUGGAGGUCCAAUAGCCGUAGCCAGGAAGGGCAAAGGUCCACUCGUAUGCACACAAAGAAA